rnacentral:lncRNA from 1 species
GCGUUAGUUGGCGUAACUGGUAAAGUUAUGACCAGAAGAUUACGGGUUCGAACCAUGAAAACAACCUCUUGUAGAAAUACAGGAUAAGACUGGUACAAUAGAGUCUUGUGAUCCGGUUUUUCUCCGGACCCGAGCAUAGCAGGAGCUUUGUGCCCUCAAAUUUUAGAAGCUAGAAAUAUGAAGUUAUGCAAGAAGUUAAAGACCCUAGAAAAUAAGCAAUUCAUCAUCUCUUGAUCAUAUAAAUAGCUGCAGAAGCAAUAGCAAAGUCAAUCUUAUGACUCUUCUUUAAGCUGCAAAGAAUGGAUGAUAUCCAAGGCUACUUGUUGAUCUUCUAUAUUUGGCUAGCUUCUUGCAUAUUUCUCUGGUUUCUAUUCAGAAACAGAGCGAAUUGUCGCCUUCCUCCAAGCCCGUUUGCUUUGCCAAUCAUCGGUCACCUGCAUCUUCUUGCUCCAAUUCCUCACCAGGCACUUCACAAGCUUUCAAACAGGUAUGGACCAUUGAUCCACAUAAUGCUUGGCUCUGUGCCUUAUGUUGUUGUUUCAUCACCUGAAAUGGCCAAAACUUUCCUAAAAACUCAUGAAACAUCCUUUCUAAAUCGACCACAAACAGCUAUUGUAGACUACUUGACUUAUGGCUCACAAGACUUCUUAUUUGCACCUUAUGGACCUUAUUGGAAAUUCAUGAAAAAAAUAAUCAUGUCUGAACUCCUUGGUGGUCGUACGUUAGACCUGCUUCUUCCUGUAAGACGCGAUGAAAUAAGAUGUUUCGUCGAGUUAUUGUUACAAAAGGCUAAAGCAAGGGAGGCAAUAGAUGUAGAAGCUGAGCUUCUGAGGGUCACAAAUAAUGUAAUUUCAAGAAUGCUAAUGAGGGAAAGGUGUUCGGAAAAUGAAAAUGAAGCUGGGAGUGUAAAGAAGCUGAUUCAAGAGAUAGCUGAACUCUCUGGGAAAUUUAAUCUGUCGGAUUAUAUUUGGUUUUGCAAGAACUUGGAUUUGCAAGGUUUUGGAAAGAGGGUCAAGGAUCUUCGCGGCAGGUUUGAUCAGAUGAUUGAUAGGAUCAUUAACGAACACCAAGAGGUAAGAAGGACUAGAUAUCAAAGCAACGAUGGAAGCGAAUUCGUGAAAGAUCUUCUUGAUAUACUUCUCGAUAUAGCAGAUGAUGAACACGCAGAGAUGAGACUGACAAGACAGAACAUCAAGGCUUUCAUUCUGGUAAGUUUCUAGUAUGUUAUAGAGGAUAAAGUUCAAUGACCACACGCGAAAUUAACUCUAAAUGUUUUGUUGCCCUUAAUGCACUAGAAGAAACUGGUAAAAUUGAUGUCAUGUAACCAGGAGGUCACGGGUUCGAGCCGUGAAAACAGUCUGUUGCAGAAAUGCAGAAUAAGACUACAUACAAUACACCCUUGCGGUCCGGCCCUUCCCCGGACCCCGCGCAUAGCGGGAGUUUAGUGCACCGGGCUGCUCCUUUUAAAUGCAUCAGAAGAAAAAGAAAAAUAAGAGUAGUUACUGCCAAUGUUCAUAUGAAACGACUAAAGAUCAAUAACCUUGAUUACACAGUAUAAUAUGAAAUAUUUGAAGAUCAUUUAUAAUCUGUUCAUGAACAACAAUUAACAAUGAUCAACUGCAUCUAAACUUUAAGCUCUUGGGAUGAAUAGCUACUUUGCCGCCUGAGCAAUGAGAUAAAUGUCAAAUAUCUUGAAAAUAUCACAAUAAUCAAAUAGUUCAUUUAGGAACAGAAUAUGCUUUUUGUUGCCAGUUGUCACCAAUUAUCAUUGAAUUGUUAAUUCAUAAGUUGGCGUCUUUCUCAAACUCUUUCAUUGUGUUGAAAAUCAGUAACCUAUAGACUAUUCAGAAAACUUAAAAAGUCCUGAUGAUGAUAAAAUCAUUUGCUGUAUUGUUACUUCCAUACAUCUUACUUAAUUUUCCCGUUCGACAAGACUAAAAUUGUAGAUUGGAUUUUAUUUUUUAACAGGACAUAUUUGUUGCUGGCACUGAUACUUCAGCAAUCACAACAGAGUGGGCACUUGCAGAGCUGAUUAACCAUCCAAGCAUUAUGCAGAAAGCAGUAGAAGAAAUCGAUACCGUUAUUGGAAAGAACCGACUUAUCGAAGAAUCAGACAUCACAAACCUCCCCUAUCUUCAAGCCAUAGUUAAAGAAACUCUGAGACUACAUCCUACUGCUCCUAUAAUUGGUAGAGAAUCAAGUGAAGACUGUUCCAUUGGUGGCUAUCGUAUACCGGCAAAAACUGGACUAUUUGUCAAUGUUUGGGCUAUUAAUAGGGAUCCAAACUAUUGGGAAACUCCACUUGAAUUUAAACCAGAAAGAUUUCUCGGUGAAGAGGGGAACACAAGAGGUCAAUUGGAUGUCAGGGGACAGCACUACCAGUUUAUGCCAUUUGGGAGCGGGCGCAGAGGCUGUCCUGGAACUUCAUUAGCAUUGCAGGUAGUUCAAACAAGCCUUGCUGUCAUGAUUCAGUGCUUUGAAUGGAAGGUUACUGGUGGAGUGAAUGGUAAAGUGGACAUGGAAGAGGGAACUGGCUUCACUCUUCCUAGAGCUCAUCCUUUGAAUUGUAUUCCAGUGGCUAGGCUUAAUCCAUUUCCAUCAAUGUAAUAACAAGGAAAUACCUUGUUUAAAUUGUUUCUUUGAAAUAUACAUCUUCCCCCAAUCUUUAGUUCAUUUAAUUGACAUCUUGCAAGUGUACUCUAACUAUAAUAAUUUGGCCAAGAAGAUGAUGAAUUAAAUAUAUACACAAGAUAAUAACAGAGUCCCUGUGAGAGAACUCCUAUGGGGGAAAUACACCCCCUAUAGGAAGACGGUGUGCAACUACACCUAAGCAUAGAACCAUUCUAGUGCACCCCCUCAAGCUAGAUGAUGUGCAACUACACCUAUAGCUUGUACAAAUGGCGAUGGAAGGAGUUUUUCAGAAGCGGUUUGGUAGGCAUAAGCCAACUGGUCGAACUGGGAAUGUGCUUGAAGAUAAGGUGGUAUCGUUAACCUAUUGGCAAAUGUGGUGGAGGUAAACAACUACAUGCUUUAUGCGGCUACGUAGAAUGUUAUUCUCACAUAAGUAGGUGACAUCAAGGUUGUCAUAAAAAUUGUAGGUAGUGUGAAGAUAAUUCCUUGAGAAGAUUUUUGACCUCAUCAACAGCACUAGUACCAGUUCAAUACUCCGAAAAACAACGGGCAAUGGCGCAUUAUUUUUUGGGAAAAGGGUCAAAAAUACUCUUCCACUAUGCGAAAAGGAUCACUUGCGCGCUACGAUCCACCAUUGCCCCUAAGAUAAGAAUAUUAAUGCAAAAAUACCCCUCCUCUGUUAGAAUUCUCCACCAUGGCAACCACUAUUCUACAUGGCAUGACAUUUCGCUGAGGUGGACGCCAAGUGGCAUGCCACCUUACCAACCCCAACCCAAGACUAAUUUGAGUGUCCUAGUGUUAUCAAGGUUAUUCAAGAGUACUCAAUUUGAUCUCAAAAAGAGCAAUGAAAUCUAUAAGGCUAAACAAUCAGAAUAAAAACUAUUUGGCAAUUAUAGUACGAGUUUGCAACAAUUAAGACAAAAAAAGAAGACGAAAUAACAUUCAAAAUCCAUUUUUUUUGCGCUCUCUGUAACCAAAGAAAUGACAAUGGCUCUAAAAGUGUUUACUUGAGGAAUUUUAUUCACGUCCUUCACCACCAACACGAACUAUUCAGCCCUCAGAGUCUAACAAGAUAGAGAAAAGAAAUGGAAAAAGAGAAUGGAAAAAAAAACAAAUAAAACUAAUGUGUUUUAUGAGCCUCUGAAGAAAAUAAACGCAGCUGUCAGACAAGCAAUUUGACCACAGAGAAAAGAAACUUACCACAUAGCAUAAUCACCACAUUAAACAAGAGAAAAACAAGUAUCACAACAGAGAGAACCCAUGUAAAAGUAGCAUAAAUCACAACAAAUAAUCAGGAGACCGCAAUGAAAGAAAUGACCGAUAAUUAUAGAAAUCUAAUGCCAACAGAAAACUAAAGUACGUGCUAAUACUACCGGUAUGACAAGGAGAACACUAAACUAACUACCCUAGUACCCAAAUUUUCGACUUUCACAUCUUUCUACGAAGGGCCAUGUGCUCGAUCAACUGAAAAAAAUUGGAUAAUUAUACAUGUAAAUCCAAAAUGCAUUAUCAAUGCCCAAAAAUAGUUCAUUGAAAAAUAAGUGAGUCACCCAUUCAUUAAAGGAUAGUCCGGUGCACUAUGCUCCCGCUAUGCGCGGGGUCUGGGGAAGGGCCGGACCACAAGGUAUAUUGUACGCAGUCUUACCCUGCAUUUCUACAAGAGGUCGUUUCCACGGCUUGAACCCGUGACCUCCAGAUCACAUGACAGCAACUUUAUCAGUUACGCCAAGGCUCCCUUCCUCGUCGCCCAUUCAUUGAGAGAUUAAAAUUAGCCAAUUUAAUCACAGAUUAAGGCAACUCAUUUACAUUAUUUAUCAGUAUACAUACAAGAAACAGAAACGUUAUAGGAGUCAAAAUAAACGGAACAAAAAUCAAACCUUUCCACCAAGAUAAAUGGUUUCAACUUAUGCCGAUACUUGAAUUAGAAUAUGCCAUUACACUCAACUUAACUGCACCUGGAGGUGAUGAUUGUGGUGGCUCCGUGAAGGGGGAAGUGGUGAUAGAAGAAGAAGUGGGACGACAUGUCAGGUCAUGUAGGACGGUGUUGGGCAAGGUAGAGGAUUCUAACAAAUGAGGGCCAUUUUUGCACCAGUUAUGUAACCGCGGGGCAGAGGUAUUUUUUUGUUAGAUGUUUGUCCUAAUUUU